rnacentral:rRNA from 1 species
AUGACAGCGCUCUCCGGUGCCCACACCGUCGGGAUGGCCAGCUGUGACACCUACAGGGACCGUGUCUACGGCACCGACAGUGAUGAGGAGAUCGACCCAUACUUUGCACAGACCACGCAGCAGACGUGCCAGGGUCUUUCUGGUAAGGCGCCAUUUGACGUGCAGACGCCGAUGAGGUUCGACAACGCUUACUACAAGAACCUUAUCGCACGGCGCGGUCUCCUUUCCUCUGACCAGACUCUCUACGGCGGUGGGGGUCUGCAAGACAAUCUCGUGGAGAUGUACAACACCGACGGUGAGGCGUUCGCUAGGGACUUCGCCAAGGCCAUGGUGAAGAUGGGAAACGUGCCUCCGCCGCACGAAAUACCCGUGGAGGUGAGGCUCAAGUGCUCUAUGGCAAAUAACUAUUGA